UGAUAGAGGCGCAUCGCGCAAUCAGUAGCUUUUCCGGAUAAGGCUGUCGUCGGCCGUCGGAGGGGGGAAAGGUGCCGGUGCCGAAAGCGUGCGGCGGACGAUGCCGCGCCGCUUGGUUUGGCGGAUAAGAUCCGUCCGACUGUCGUUUAUACGGAGAGCUAUCGGG
rnacentral:ncRNA from 1 species